rnacentral:lncRNA from 1 species
AUGUAACCAGGUUACAUGCCAUGAAGGAAGUGGGAAUGAUAGUGUAAGUUCUACAUACAAGUUAAAAGGUAAGUCAAACAUAUUAUCACAAUUUCUCUUAUGCUGGUAUUUACUUUUUUUGUCAUAAGUGAUUUUGUCAACUCCAGUUUUGUGUAAGACUUCAGAAUUUUAUAAAAAGGUUUACCAUCAGAAGAAUUCUCCUUGGACUUUCUAAACUAGAAAUGUUUGUCUAUAUAUAUAUAGUUACUAUUUCUUGGUAUUACCUUUGGUUAUGAUAAUAUCCAUUGUCUAGAUCAGCUUUUGUGAUGAGAUUUUUAAAAAUCUUUGCUUCAACUAAAAUAAUUCACUUCUCUUUUUCACAUUUCCAGGGAGCCCAGGGUUUGCGAGGCAUCACCGGCAUAGUUGGGGACAAAGGGGAAAAAGGUGCUCGGGGCUUAGAUGGUGAACCUGGGCCUCAGGGUCUUCCUGGUGCACCUGGUGAUCAAGGACAGCGAGGACCUCCAGGAGAAGCAGGUCCCAAAGGAGAUAGAGGGGCUGAAGGUGCUAGAGGAAUUCCUGGUCUCCCUGGGCCCAAAGGAGACACGGGUUUGCCAGGUGUGGAUGGCCGUGAUGGGAUCCCUGGAAUGCCUGGAACAAAGGGUGAACCAGGAAAACCUGGGCCUCCUGGUGAUGCAGGAUUGCAGGGGUUACCAGGUGUACCUGGAAUUCCUGGUGCAAAGGGUGUUGCUGGUGAAAAGGGUAGCACAGGUGCUCCAGGGAAGCCUGGUCAGAUGGGAAAUUCAGGCAAACCGGGCCAACAGGGGCCUCCAGGAGAGGUGGGACCCCGAGGACCCCAGGGGCUUCCUGGCAGUAGAGGAGAAUUAGGACCAGUGGGAUCCCCAGGCCUACCAGGUAAACUGGGUUCUCUGGGUAGCCCUGGCCUCCCUGGCUUGCCUGGGCCCCCUGGACUUCCUGGAAUGAAAGGUGACAGGGGUGUAGUCGGUGAACCGGGUCCAAAGGGUGAACAGGGUGCCUCUGGUGAAGAAGGUGAAGCAGGAGAAAGGGGGGAACUUGGAGAUAUAGGAUUACCUGGCCCAAAGGGAUCUGCAGGUAAUCCUGGGGAACCUGGCUUGAGAGG